AUUGAACGCUGGCGGAAUGCUUUACACAUGCAAGUCGAGCGGCAGCGCGGGGGCAACCCUGGCGGCGAGCGGCGAACGGGUGAGUAACAUAUCGGAACGUACCCAGUCGUGGGGGAUAACUAUCCGAAAGGAUAGCUAAUACCGCAUACGUCCUGAGGGAGAAAGCGGGGGAUCGCAAGACCUCGCGCGAUUGGAGCGACCGAUAUCGGAUUAGCUAGUUGGUGGGGUAAAGGCUCACCAAGGCGACGAUCCGUAGUGGGUCUGAGAGGACGACCCGCCACACUGGAACUGAGACACGGUCCAGACUCCUACGGGAGGCAGCAGUGGGGAAUUUUGGACAAUGGGGGCAACCCUGAUCCAGCCAUUCCGCGUGAGUGAAGAAGGCC
rnacentral:rRNA from 1 species